rnacentral:lncRNA from 1 species
GAUAUAAAUGCUCAGGCAUUAUCCAGUCUUCCUGAUUUUAUGGGAUAAGUAAGGUGGUGAACCCUUAAAAUCGACCAGGAGGUUUAGCAACAAUGUGUGUGGACAAACAUGUAACCAUUUUUUCGAUUCAUCAACCAAAACCAUAAGUAUUUAUAUGGUCCGCAUUUUGGUUUGAUUAGUCCACAUAUAUUCCCUUGAAUCCAUUGUGAAAAAGGGUGAUUUCGUAUCUUUGCGAGUGAUGAUUUAUAAAAUCAAUUUCCCCAAUGAGAAGGCUUGGUAAAGUGUGCUUGUAGGCACAAGGUCUUUACUUCGGGUAAGGAGAUACGUCGUGACAUCAUUGUUCGACCUAAGUGUCCCACAAGGUUGUGCCAAAGCAAGUAAAUUGCUCGAAUCAUUUGGCUCCAGGCCAGCCACAUGUGGCUUGUUCCCAGUUGGGAGAUAGCCCAUUGGCCCUAAAACAAAGGUUCAGGCUCAUUUUUGGAGGUAGUGCAAAGAUAUUUCACUUUAUUUUCUUCAGUGGUUUUAGUCAUGAUCAUUGUUUUCUCGAAUAUCAUUAAGACUCAAUGACAUUAUUUUGGAACGGGGAGAAUAUAAGGUCUCUGACAUGGUAAUUUAAUACCAUUUAUACAAUGAGGAGCUUGCCAAUACUCUUAAUUAGGUUGGUUAGACCUGAAGUCGUUGCUAGGGAUGUGAUUUAGGCAUAAAGUUAGUGUGUGGAAUAUCGCAUUCAUCCAGUCAACAAACUUGCCCACAUUUGUACCUAAUCACAUGUUUAAUUAAAUUCGGUCACAUGUAUACAAGAAACAUGAUUCAAUUAACUCAUAUUUGAGGACAAUAUCAAUAAGAUUAUCCAUAACGAAAAACAAACACCAAACUUGAACCCAAGAACAUGGAAAAAUGUUCACAAAGUAAAUGGUUUACUGAGGGGAUUCGACCAAUAAGG